rnacentral:rRNA from 1 species
UACGUAUGGUGCAAGCGUUGUCCGGAAUUAUUGGGCGUAAAGAGCUCGUAGGCGGUCUGUCGCGUCGGCUGUGAAAACUCGGGGCUCAACCCCGAGCCUGCAGUCGAUACGGGCAGACUAGAGUGCUGUAGGGGAGACUGGAAUUCCUGGUGUAGCGGUGAAAUGCGCAGAUAUCAGGAGGAACACCGGUGGCGAAGGCGGGUCUCUGGGCAGUAACUGACGCUGAGGAGCGAAAGCGUGGGGAGCGAACAGG